rnacentral:rRNA from 1 species
AUUGAACGCUGGCGGCAGGCCUAACACAUGCAAGUCGAGCGAGAGGCGGACGGGUGAGUAAUGUAUGGGGACUGCCUGAUAGAGGGGGAUAACUACUGGAAACGGUGGCUAAUACCGCAUACUAUCGGAUACCCGAUAGGGGAUUAGCUAGUCGGUGGGGUAAAGGCUCACCUAGGCGACGAUCCCUACCUGGUCUGAGAGGAUGAUCAGCCACACUGGGACUGAGACACGGCCCAGACUCCUACGGAGGCAGCAGUGGGGAAUCUUGCACAAUGGGCGAAAGCCUGAUGCAGCCAUGCCGCGUGAGUGAAGAAGGCUUUAGGGUUGUAAAGUUCUUUUAGCAGAGAGGCGUUACCCGAAGAGGAAGCACCGGCUAACUCCGUGCCAGCAGCCGCGGUAAUUC